GGGGGGGGGGGGGGGGGGGGGGGGGGCGUGGGGGUGGAGCGGGGGGGGGGGGGGGGGGUGGGGUGGGGGGGGGGGGGUGGGGGGGGGGGGGGGAGUCCAUCGGGCUGGGCUUUUUUGGGGUGGGGAACGGAGGGGAGCUGACGCUGAUCCCGCCGUGCAACUACGGGGUGGAGGAGGGGGACAGCGGGGCUUGGUCGGAUUGCUGCGCCUAUGUCGGGUUACGGAGGUGGCGGGGUAAUGGCCCACGCAGGCGACGACCCGUAGCUGGUCUGAGAGGAUGAUCAGCACAACUGGAACUGAGACACGGUCCAGACUCCUACGGGAGGCAGCAGUGGGGAAUAGUGGACAAUGGGCGCAAGCCUGAUCCAGCCAUACCGCGUGGGUGAAGAAGGCCUUCGGGUUGUAAAGCCCUUUUGUUGGGAAAGAAAAGCAGCAGGUUAAUACCCCGCUGUUCUGACGGUACCCAAAGAAUAAGCACCGGCUAACUUCGUG
rnacentral:rRNA from 1 species